AGAGAAGAUGGCGUUGGAUGAAAGUGGAUUCAGAAGUUGUAUCCAGUGUCGUUAGUGAUCCAUUUUGAGACUAGAGAGCAGAAUAUCAUCUUCAAAACGAAGAGGAGAACAUAAAUGUCUGGUAAUCUACAACAGCUACACCUGAGCGGCUGCUGGCCACUCUGGAGGAGCUUGUCACUGAU